rnacentral:rRNA from 1 species
GACGAAGGAUGCAAGCGUUAUCCGGAUUCAUUGGGUUUAAAGGGAGCGUAGGUGGCCUUAUAAGUCAGUGGUGAAAUCUUCGAGCUUAACUCGGAAGUUGCCAUUGAUACUGUAGGGCUUGAGUACAGUUGCUGUGGGCGGAAUAUGACAUGUAGUGGUGAAAUACAUAGAGAUGUCAUAGAACACCGAUUGCGAAGGCAGCUCACAAAACUGUAACUGACACUGAGGCUCGAAAGUGCGGGGAUCAAACAGG